ensembl:rRNA 5S_rRNA 5S ribosomal RNA
GCUAGUAGCUAGCUCUCUGCAACCCUCACAUAGUUGCCCACUGAAGUUAAGCAGGGCUGCGCCUAGUUGGUACAUGGAUAAGAGACCUCAUGGGAAAAGCUAGGUUGCUGCCAGAA